rnacentral:rRNA from 1 species
AGAGAUGCACUGGGCUUAAAGCGUGCGCAGGCGGUUUUGUAAGACAGAGGUGAAAUCCCCGGGCUCAACCUGGGAACUGCCUUUGUGACUGCAAGGCUGGAGUGUGGCAGAGGGGGAUGGAAUUCCGCGUGUAGCAGUGAAAUGCGUAGAUAUGCGGAGGAACACCGAUGGCGAAGGCAAUCCCCUGGGCCUGCACUGACGCUCAUGCACGAAAGCGUGGGGAGCAAACA